AAAGAAGCAAACUUUUUUAAAUCGUUGUUUGCUUGCAGUUUACACGAUGAUGAGGAAUAAACAUUGGAGCAAAGCGGUGCAUCGGGGCUGAAUGAGUGCAAGUUCAACGCCAUUUGUAUUUAACAGCACAAAUACUGAUUUUCAGAUAGGAUCAGACCGUACCAACAUCAAAAGACGUGUUUACAUACAACUUAUUUUGUGGGAUGUGAGAUGUCCAAAUAAAUACAACUGAUUAUCAGUUCUCAAGAAGUCAAGACACAUCAACAUUGUGAGACAUACAUACAUAUGUAAAUAUACAUAAAAUUUGUACGGCUUCGACUAAAAUUCGAAUUGAACACGUUAAAUUGGACAAACUGACGACAUCGCGAAGUCCAGCGUCCUCCUUUCUCCGCUUCUUAUUCCGCAACUCUUCUCGUUUUAUGAUCAGUUGGAAAAAUCUGAAAUCAAUCAAAAUCAGUUUUCACUUCAUAUUUCUCAGACUUCAACGCAGGCCAUUGAAAUUCCUUCAAAGGCAAAGUUUAUUAGAAAGCAGUUCUUUCCCACAAGAUGAACAAAUUUAUUUUUCUGUGAGUUUGCCAUCUUCCGUAUGGUCAUGGCGUCUCGAAUGACUUGUUGAACGAGACAUGUUCCAAGACUGAGCAAACUCCGGACCUGGACAACAUCAAAAGCGUGACAUGAUCGGGAAGGAUGUCAUCACAGACGGAACUCUGAAGAUUUUUAUCGAAGGCAGUACUAAAAGCUAGCGCUCAGGGGUCCUAUUCAUUUGUGGCAGCAGGGUAGAGGUGAGUCGGGCCUAAGAUUUUCAAAGCCCGGCCCGCCCAAGCCCGACUCAAAAACCCUAUUCAAAAGCCCGACCCGCCCAAGCCCUAU